AUUUUCAUCUCAUUUUCCAAGAAAGUAACCCUUUUGGAAAGAAAAUAAAGAAGGCAGAUAUGACCCGUAAGACGGAGAUUUACGAUAAACGAGAGAGGGUCGAAUAGAAAUUAGUGCAAACCAGAAACAUCGGGAUAAGGUUUGGCGGUUAGCAAACAAAAUGCAUGGAUAGAUUUCAAAGAGAUAUU
ensembl:ncRNA F47E1.11 ncRNA